rnacentral:rRNA from 1 species
CUAGCCGUAAACGAUGGGUACUAGGUGUGGGAGGUAUCGACCCCUUCCGUGCCGGAGUUAACGCAAUAAGUACCCCGCCUGGGGACUACGAUCGCAAGAUUGAAACUCAAAGGAAUUGACGGGGGCCCGCACAAGCGGUGGAGCAUGUGGUUUAAUUCGAAGCAACGCGCAGAACCUUACCACCUUUUGACAUGCCUGGACCGCCAGAGAGAUCUGGCUUUCUCUUCGGAGACUAGGACACAGGUGC